GACGAACGCUGGCGGCGUGCUUAACACAUGCAAGUCGAACGGAAAGGCCCUGCUCCUGUGGGGUGCUCGAGUGGCGAACGGGAGAGUAACACGUGAGUAACCUGCCCAUGACUUUGGGAUAACUUCAGGAAACUGGGGCUAAUACCGGGAAGGAGCUCCUGCUGCAUGGUGGGGGUUGGAAAGUUUCGGCGGUGGGGGAUGGACUCGCGGCUUAUCAGCUGGUUGGUGGGGUAGUGGCCUACCACGGCUUUGACGGGUAGCCGGCCUGAGAGGGUGACCGGCCACAUUGGGACUGCGAUGCGGCCCAGACGCCUACGGGAGGCAGCAGUGGGGAAUAUUGCACAAUGGGCGGAGGCCUGAUGCAGCAACGCCGCGUGCGGGAUGACGGCCUUCGGGUUGUAAACCGCUUUCGCCUGUGACGAAGAGUGAGUGACGGUAAUGGGUAAAGAAGCACCGGCUAACUACGUG
rnacentral:rRNA from 1 species